CAGCAAAGGGAAGGGGGAGGGGUGUGUGCGAGGAGGGGAGAGGGGAGCGCUUGGCGCCUCGCCAACUACCAUCAGAAUUAGCUCAUUGUUCAAUAUAGGCAGGCAACCAAAGCCUGAGAGAGAUUUUCCCCUCUUGCUGCCCCCACCCCCUUUUCUUUCUGUUUUUCCCCCCUUCCCCGGCUGCACUGUGAAAGAGGUGCAGUCAUUCCUCCCCACACCCUCUUACCCAGCCCACUCCCCCCCCCCUCUAUAAAUUCUCUUCUUCUAGCAUGCUCCCCCUUUUUAAAUCCACAUUUGUAUUUCAGAUCAUGUAGAAAGGACAGAGUGAGGAGGGAACAGGGGCUUUUGCUUACUACCGCUACCAGAGGGAAAGUGUAGUCCCAAGUCUUAAUAGAAUCUGAGAAUGGUUUAUCGACCAAGGCUCGCAGCCAGCCAGAAACACAUUCCAAUCAGCCAUGGGUAUGGAGGAUUUUUUCAGGACAAUCUGCCCAUCCCAAAGGAAGUUAAUCGCAAAAAGAAUGAAAAACCUGAACCUCCGUUCCUGUCACCAGCAAAUGACUAUGGACACCAUUUCACCCAAAUCAAUUACCUCUCCUCUUUUUAAUCAUAACUCCUCAUUUGUAUUAAAUAUGGUGUAUGGGUGUUGAUGAGGUCAUCAUGGUGUCAUAUAUCGGGAAUUGUUUCUGUGUAAAUCAUAAGAAGAAAACUAUGGGACUCUGAGCCUUGCUUUGGAGAAUUACAGUGAAAAAUGUAUACCAUAAACCGGUUUUUAACCAUUCUGACUCAAGUAAAAACACUCAGAAUUUCACACUGUGAACCCAAGUUUACAAACAUUACAGGUGGGCCUUCAGGCCUUGUUCUACCACAGCAAUGUCUUCCACUACUCAAACUCCACUGACCACAUGCAACUGGUAAAACUGCUGCCUCUCCAUUUUCAUGAUUCCUAACUGCUUCUUGCAGAGGCUGAGAGUCCCCCUUUAUUUCAUUUAGACGUAACAAGCCUAGUAGUUUAUUUUCAUCGAUUGUCUGUAUAUCUCUAUAUUUUAUCCAUGUACUCUUUUGAUGUAUAGAAGUAGUAUGAAACUCAUGGUUUCCUUGUGGUAAGUGACUGAGAUGCUGCCACGGGAUUUGAGACACUGAUGAAUGGUGCUAUUUUGGACUUUAAACAUGCUCCUUGGCAAGGUAGCUCUGAUGGAGUUAUUUUUAAUUUCCAUGUUCUAAGAAGGUGUUGGUACUUUGUUCUUGUUCUUUAGACUGGACUGACUUGUUUCCUUGUGUCUUCAGUGUGGCUUUCUUAUUCAGUGUUGUAGGGUGAGUAAUUACUAAUACAGCAAGUGAGGAACUGAUUCCCACCUGGGUAUGCUCACAAACUUGCAAUGGUAGUGGGAGCAAUCACAAAACUGUAAUUUACUACAAUUUUCCUCUCUGCCAUUUUGCUUACAUGAUUUGGAUAAAGAGCAGCAAUAAUUUUCUUAUGGUCUUUAGGGGUUAUCUUAAUGUUUUUGUCUUUUCUUUUAAAAAAAAUUCAUUCGGAGGCAUAUUCUUCAAGGGGGCAGUAUGUUUGUAAGUGUCCUCUUAAAAUCAAUAAAAUUGGCUAUGUUUUUUUAAUAAAAACAAUGAGUUCUUUAAAUGUGUAGAAACAGAAACUAUUCAAAAGCAAUGAAUCUAGUUCCACAGUAUUUCCAGCUUGUGGAUUUUACAUUUUUGUUCUUGCUCCCAGGGAAUUAGGAAACAAAAUACAAAACAAAACAGUACCAUCUAUUCAUGGAAUGUUGUUGUGUUAGACACAGUCUGGAAGCCCACCUUAAUUUUUUUAUAUAACUCUGUCCUUCAGCUCUUCCUUUUACUGGGCAGGCUUUGUCCUGAACUGUUUAGCUUCUGACUGUUAAAUACCAAUGCAUGCACUGCACUUCUUGGUUUCUCCCCCAUCCCCCAUUCUUAUGCACUUUCUUUCUGGUAGAUUAGAUAAGUCAAUUGUGCUGUAUAUACAUAUAGCAAGAAACAGUAUUCAGCAGUUGUGGCAUUUAUGUAUAGUUGCAGUUGUGUACUGCUGAAAUGCAAGCUUUUGUAACAGUGUGAUCUUUAAUAAUGCACUACAAGUACCCAAUGUAUUUUAGCUCUUUUAGU